CAACACAAAAUAGAAUAUAGGUCCGUCCUGAGGUAGACUGUGCAUACAUCACACCCCUUUGGUGCGAUUUUUUUUUCCUAAUAAUGUCUUAAUGUGGAAUGCUUUGUAAACCAGACUACCUAAUCCCAAGUACUAGUAGUUCUACUUCUUUAAGUCGGGUAGAAGGGGUGAGGAGAAGAGAGAGAGAAAGAAUGAAGUUCUUGUUCCAAUGUCCAUGCUGUUCUUGUUUCUGUUUCAUGAAGCCCCAAAAGGGCAAACCAAAAGCAAAAGUGGAAGAAGCAAAACCAAAAGCCAAAGUGGAAGAAGCAAAACCUAAAGAUAAGAAGGUGGAAGAAGCAAAACCAAAAGAGAAAGAAGAAAGCACGCCAGAAUGAAAGCAUAGAGGACAUGGGAUGAUGAUGCAGUUAUACUGUUCUGAUGCAAGUAAUAUUGUUCUUCAUUUACUUAAUUUACUUCUAGUCAUAAUUUAUGGUGUGCAGUCUUUUAACUCUUUUGAAAAAAGCACCUCCUAAAUAUUGUAAUCGUAUGACAAAAUAUUUGCACUUUAUUCUCUCUGAAAUGCAAACCUAGUCUUCAUUAUUAUGUAUGUUUAGAUCCUUUGUCGCACUCAUGUUGGAUUCUCAAAAAAUACAUACUUUUUAAAAGAUACAAUGUAGAAAUUUUGAAGUAUAUGAGAAACAUAACUUGUUAAUAGUUAGAUUUCUCUUAACUAAAUUCCUCAAAUGAUUAUCAAAUUUAGAGUUUUUUUUCCCUUUAAAGGUCAAACAAAAAAUUAUUUUUUGUUAGUGUAAAGUCACUCGAAAUGAAGAUAGAAUCUCAAAAAAUAACUAUAGAUAGAAAAAACACAUAAGCAACUUUUUUAUACUAUACGAAUCCAAGCGAUAAAAGGCUAAAGUGAAUCCUCAACAACAAUUUCAAUUUUAAGAAAGAUGACAUGAUGAUUGACUACGGGGACAGGGCAUAUCUCAUUCAGAGUGUGUUUUAUUGAAAAUUUGGUACUUUAAAUUUCCGUUUUGUCAGUAGAUUGCAGAUACACAAUGGCAUCUGCACUAAACAUACAUCUUGAACAAGUAAUAUAUUCAAGUCUUUUAUUUUUUUAUUUUAAAUAAAGGCUGUUAAUUAAUCAAGAUCAGAAGACACAUAAUCCUGAUCACUUGAUCUAUUAAUUAAGACAAAAUUUAUUGCGACUUAGUAAGCUUCAUUUGUAUAUGAAUAUAAAAUCACUACUUGAAACUACAAAUUUGGGUAAGGGUUGAUUUGAAGUUGAAAUUAUGUUUGGAUAUAUAAUUUAACUUUCAAAAAUUACUAUUUUUUCUUAUAAAUUUGAAAAAAAAUUCUCAGAAAUUGUGAAAUCUAUGAAUUUUUUUUCAAACUCCUUUAUAAUCUUAUAAAAGAAGCAAAUGAUAAGUCAUAAAUCCAAGGUAUUGGAAUAUCCUAAGGCAACACAUUAGUAUUUAACAUAGAUUUCAUGUCCCUUUUAUAAAAAUUUGCUUGUAAAUACGUGUUGUUAUAAAUGUUGAAAUGCAUAUAACUUCAGAAAGAUCCACUAAUUCAAUAAAUUAACAAUAGUACUCUUAGGUGUCGUUUGGUUUGAAAAUGGUUAUCCCGCGAUAAUUAAUACCGGAAUUAGUUAUCCCGGGAUUACCCGGGAUAACUUAUUGUUAAAAUUGAUCUUGGGCCUAACUCACACCUCAAAAGCUAGCUCAUGAGGAGGAGAAUUGCCCAAGCCUUAUAAAGAGAUCACCCAUCUCAUUAACCACCAAUGUGAGACUUUCUUUUCAAUCUUUUUAACAACCCACCUCACGCCCAGACCUCAACUGGCCGUUGACAAUACCAUGUUAAAAUUGGGCUUGAGCCUAACUCACACCUCAAAAGUUAGCUCAUGAGGAGGAGGGCCCCCAAAUUGAGAUGUCGGGGAGAUUGUCCACGCCCAGUUGAGGUCUGGGCCCCAGUUAAGGUGUGGGCGUGAGGUGGGUUGUUAAAAAAAUUGAAAAGAAAGUCCCAAAUUGAUGGUUAAUGAGAUGGGUGAUCUCUUUAUAAGGCUUGAAUAAUCCUUUUCCUCGUGAGCUAGCUUUUGAGGUGUGAGUUAGGACCAAGACCAAUUUUAACACUUAUCCCCACCAUGUAUAUGAGAUAAGUUAUCCCGGGACUAAGGGGAAAAUGGUGGAAUAAGUUAUCCCGGGUUGGAUUAAUCCCUCCAAGCAAACAAAGGAAAAUGUGUUCUUUUAUUUUAUCCCGGGAUAAUUAGUUAUCCCAGGAUAAUUAGUUAUCCCGGGAUAACCAUUUUCAAACUAAACGAACCCUUAGUACCAACAUCGAUUGUGGUGUAGUGGUAGGACUAUUCCACCCUUAGCCAGAGAUCUCGGGUUCGAGUAUAAGUAUGGAGAAAUUUUGGUUGGGAGUGUCACCCUCAAAAUGGGCCCUAUAAUGUGCGAUCCGAAUUAGUCGGAGCUUCAAUACGAAAACCGAACACUAGGUGGAAAACAAAAAAGAAUAGUGCGUGGUCCUAGUAACAAUCUAUUCCAUAAUAUAAUCAUUCGAACAAUCAAUUCACAUCGAGUACUUGUCUAGUUUUACAAAUUUCAAAAUUACAAACUUUUUUCUCGCAAAAUUAAAAUUAUGGAUCAAGUUUUGAUUUCUACAAUAAUUAAAACCAUAAAUCUGAAAUUGAAAUCUACCCUUUAGGUUAAUUUGAUAUUUGAAAACAACAUUUCAAAUAAAAGUUGAAGUUUUUUUUGAAAUAUUAUAAAUAAAUACAAAUUUAAAAUCUAAACAUCAAAUUUAUAGUUCAAAUUGCAUUGCCAAACACCUGUUUAGUACUUGCAGUUUAUUUUAAAAUAAAGAAAAACGGGAGAAUGAUCGCAUUUCCAGUGUAAUGAAUAACUUUUUCAAGUGGCAACAAUUUUGUGGACUCUAAUAACAAACUAAUUUGAUAAAUCCAGGAUCCAUUUUAUGGUGGGUCUUCUGAAAUUAAAAAUUGAGUUCACCACUCAAGUCCAAAAGAAAAGGUCUCAAAGGACAAUGUUGGAACUAUUGCACUAGUACCUAUAUAGGGGAAAUUUUAGAAAUAACAAACUUGAGUUUAUAAUUACUUCUUCCAUAAUAAUACUUUGCUAGUUACAUUCCUUGUGGUGUUCACGGUUUGAUUAAAAAUCAAAUCGAACCGUAAAUCAAAUUAAAUUGAUUAAAAAAAUUUGAUAUUUAGUUAGGUUUGGUUUGGUUUAAUUUUUGACAUGACCUACCCUGGGACCUUGUCCUAAUGGGCGUCCCAAGUUCGAUCAGGAUCGGAGACCACCUCUGUUACCCAACCCAACCUCCAACCUCCAGCCACCUGCCCUGAGUUGGUUGAAUUCCGAGCAUGUAACAAGAUAGUGUAAAAGCUCACAUAAAAGCUCUGGGAUAAGAUCACAACCUCGUCCGAUCCAAUCGAGUCACCAUCCCAUACCAAUAAUCCAACCAUACCAAACCAUACCAAAACAAGGGCCAUAAACUAAUCCAUAAUCAAAGAUAAUGUUCCAAAACGUAAUAUAAUUAAUACCAAAAUGAAAUAUGACGGAACAGUGAGAAAUUAUGUCCGAUGAUGCAGACCUCCCAGCUUAUUCCAAUGCCAAGGUUGACACCUAUGUCCGAAAAAAGAAAUAAUAUUAGAUUCAGAAUAUUAUUGGUAUCUUAUAAACCUAAAUAAAGAAUAUACAAAUUUAUAUGACGUUUUACUAUAACAAAGAAAGUUAUAUAAUAGUUUACUCGAAGUCUUACCAGGUCUAAGCGGAGAGGUUUAUCAAGAACUAAGACAAAAAGAUAAUAGAUUAUCAUAAGUACAGAUCAAAAUAUUUUACUACAAAGACGAAAUAAAAAUAAAAUAAAUUUGGACACAAAAGAACGCUAUUUAUCUAGCUUAAUGAGAAGACCUCGUAGAACUACUAUGUCCUACAAAGAGAUUAAGGAAACAUUAAAUGACCUAUAUUUAGAUUAUAAGAGACUUAAUAAUACAAAAGAAGAUCAUAUAAGACUAGAUCAGCUAAUCACCAUAAUAUCCCGACUAUAAUAUAAAUUGAUAGGAUAUCUCAAAUCUAGGGAUAAAUGAGAAUAUACCUGUGGGGUAGAAGUAUACAACUAAAAUAUUUGUACGUAAAUCGAGAAAUAAUACUAAGAAGAAAGGCGGUAGAAUUAGAAAAAGUUUUAAGUAAUUUUUUGAGUAUACUAGAAUCAUCGAAAACACCAAAAUCAUGACUUUUAAAAGAAUAUAUAAGUGCCUUAAAGGGGGAAUUAGAAGGUAUUAGGAGUGAUAUAGAAUGAUAUAAUAAACAAAUAAGACUUCAUAGAGAACAGUGUAGAGAAAUUAUUCCUUUAGGAUAAAAGUAAGCCACAGUAAAUAAAAAAGAUAUAUGAAAACACAUCCUUUUGCUCGACUAGUACAAAGACCAUAUAAUCAAUUAUAUAAAGAAUUGAAACAACAACAACAACAACAAUAACAACCCAGUAUAUUCCCAUAAAGAAAGAAUUGAAACAAAGAAACGAAAUUUUAAAAAAUAGAACAAACCUUAAUAAAUCAAAUAGAGGUAGUAGAAACUAUAGAAUUAUCAGAAGCAAUUAUAAUUUCAGAACCUAUAAAUCUUUAGACUGCAUAGAUCAUAUAAACUUGUUAAAUUAUAAAUUAGAAGGUAUUAGAUAUUGCAUAGAAUAUAGAAAUAUUAGAAUAAAAUCCAUUAGAGAACAAUGUAUUAGCAAUACUUUUCGUUAGGGUAAGAAUAGUGUUGGAAUUGAUAACUUAAAGAAAUUAGAGUAUUUAGAUCUAAAAAUUCAGAUGGAGAAGAAAUAUAGAUGUUUUAAAGAUAAUUCACUUAUUAGGUGUAAUUUUAACAACGGUGAACAUAUAUUAUAUGGAGAAGAUCCACAACCAAAUACUAUUACAGACCUUAUAAUAAAUCUAGAAGAACUGGUUCAAAAGAAAAUACUAAAAUACUAAAGACUCUAGAAAUAUUUGAAGAUCUGCAAAACAAACAAAAGAAACUGUUAGAUAAAGUAGAAUAAAAUUUUGAUUUCCUAAAGAAUUAACAAGCAGAACUAGAAAAGAAAGUUAAAGAUUUAAUUAAUAAAGAUAAAGAGGGUAACCUAGAACAUCCUGAAAUAAAACUAGUGCUACAAGAAAUAAGAAAAGAAAUGAAUCAAAUAAAAUAAAUAACACUCUCAUGAAUAAUAUUUCUAUAAAUGAUCAACUCUACUUAGCAAUAUUACAAAAGGCAACACAAAUUCAAUCAAACCCCAAAGGAUUAUCAGAUUAUCAACCUCAAGGAAAAGCAGACUCCAUAGUCAUAAAAUUAAAUAAUAUUAUAAUAUUGUUAUUAUUAGAACUUAAUAAAAAUCUAGAAAAAUCAAAACAACAAGUUAGCCAAGAUAAAAAUAUAGAAGAGUUAAUAGAGCAAUUAAAGAAAAUAGAAUUAAUCCUUCUGAAAGAAAAAGAAAAAGCUAAAACGACUAAACCUAAAACAUGGACCUUUUUCCAACAUCCAUAAGCAAGCCAAGAUCAAGUUUUAUCAAAGACAGAUUAACAAAUAGUGUGAUAUCCAAAAUAACAAGUAGACCAAAAAUGACUUCAAGAUAACAACUAGAAGAAAUAGUAGACGUGGAUAAAGAUAUACAAUUAUUCCAACAAAAUAAAUUAAAACUUUUGAGAGCCAAAACUUCAUACAAUGAAGGAAUAUUUUCAACAGCAUAAUUAUAUAGGUGUUAUAGAGAAGAACAACUAUGUGUUAUUAGAGAAAAUAGCUAUAGUAUAAAUUUAAUAAGCACAAACUCUUUAAAAGAAAUUACAAAAUUAAACUUGAGCCUUCUGCACAUGAGACUAAUAGUAAUAGGAUUAAAAGGAUUAACUAGGAAGAACAUAGGAAUUAAAGUAUUGGUUACAAUAUACGAUAAUAGAUGGUCAGAUUCAAAAAGGUCUAUAAUAUAAAUAAUUGAAGUAGACAUGUCAUGUAAUGGAGGACUUUUUUAUUAUAGUCCAGACUAUAUGACAAAUUCUCUAGAAUUUGGAAAGUACAUAAAAAUAGGUAUUCAGACUAAAGGUUAUGAAGAGAUGAAUAAUGGAAAUAACUUACUAAUAUGUGUAGGUUUUAGUGGAAAACUUUCCACUAAUAGUGAUACAAAGUUUAAGUUAAAAAUAGAGGACGUAGUAAGCUUAAUGAGGAAUAAAGGAAUAAGACUAAUAAAGCCAUUAAAGAUAAAUUCAGAAGAAUAUGCACGACUAGCAUAGGAUCUAGAGAAAUUUAGUAAGAAAGAAAUACUAAACCCAACUGAUCAUUUUAUGUAUACGAAUAAAAAAGAAAGAACCUCAGUCAGAUUCACCGACUAUACAUAUACAAAUAAAAGAGAGAUAGAUGAGGAAGCUGAAGCAAGUGAAAAUAAUAACUAUAUGAAUAUAGAAAUAAUAGAAGAAGAUGGUUUCGAAGUAAAUAAGUCCAUAAUGAAAACAGAAUCCCUAUACGAAAUAAAUAACAAUAGAGUGUUUAAAUGUAUAGGCUGUAAAAUAAGAAAUCUAAAGCUUACCGAAGUAAAAAAACAUUUUAUCAAAUGUAAAUUAAGAACAGAUAAUUAUGGUUAUACAUUCAAAAAGAAAAGCAAAAAAGAAGAUUUAGAAAUAAUUUACAGUAUAGAUAAGAUAGAAAGUAUAACUACAAAAAAUUUACCAAGAUAUAGAGUAUUUGGAAUAAAUCCUAAAGAAUAGACAAAACAAAAUAUAAAACCCAGAGGAAGAAGAAUGCCAAUAAAAGAGCCCAUUAGAUUACAAGAGGGUGGUAAUAAGGAAAAUAUUUUAAAUCUGGCGACUCAUGACCCUCAGACGUGGAAUACUGCAAUAGACCUAUGAAAAAAUCUAGUUGUAGCAAAUUACAUACAAGCUAAUCAAGAACCAGAUAUAGAAAAUAUGUAUAGAUAUCUAGAAACAUUCAUAGGAGAAACUACUAAGCCGUUAUAGGAAGCCUACAAGACAAACUUCUCCGAAGAUUUUCAAAGAUUGGUAGAUUUAGGAUCCAAUCCAUAUAAUUUUGUAAAUAAAGUACAUACUUUACUAAUAGGAGAAGAUCCCAAUAGUGGAUUAAUAGUAUUACAGAAAAAGGCUUUAAUAAAUUUAGAGAAAUUAAGUAUAAAUAAUUGGUCAAAAAUUAAGGAAUUUCUAAAUGAGUAUUUCUAUUAUUGUAUCAUUAGUGGAAACUCCUUUGACUAGUCUCGAGAAAAAAGAUUGUUUAAUAAAUUACUUGGAACCUUAGUAAGAGAAAUAUAAAAAAAUGAUCUAAAAGAGAAGGAGUAGUACAAAACUCGAGACACUAAAUGGUCAACAAGACAGAGAAUACAACAUGUAAUGGAAGUAUUACAAGAAAAGUGUACAAAUACACAAAUACAAAAAUAAUUAAAAAGAAGUGAUACAGAUUUCUAUAAAAAUAUAUAUACUACACAACAAUAUGAUCAAGAUUAUAAGAAAAAAAGAUAUAAAAAACUAUAUAAAAGGGAUUAUUGUCCUAAGAAAAAAAAUUAUUUAAGAAAGUCAAAAGAAAAAAAUCAUUUCUAAACAAAUAGAGACAUAUAAGAAAAUAUAACACCAAUAGAACUUAUAAAAAUAAAUUAGAAUGUUUUACUCAUGGAAGUAUAGAACAUUUAGCAAAUACUUGUCCAAAAAGAAAUAAUAGUAGAUCUAGAAAUGCACAACUAAUAGACGAUGUAAAUGAAAAUCUAAUAAAUAUAGAUGAAUAUAUGUCAGACAACCAAAGCAUAUACUCCAUCAGGAGUAUGGAGGUAUUUGAAGAAAAAAAAAUACCUAUUGGAUUCCUCGGAUUCUGAAGGAGAAGAAUUUAUAGAUGAAGUAGGAUUAGAAAAUAUAAUUCCAAACUAUCAUGAUUUAGUCAACUUUAUAGAAGUCUGUGAACAUGAAUUUGUAAGAGGUAAGAGACUAGACAGUAACCAAUGUUUUAAUUUGGAUGGUUUUCAAGUAAAAAUAAAAGGGCAAAAUGCAGAAAAUGUUAUAUAGAAGGAUGCAUAACUUAUAUAGAAAAAAACUCACAAAUACAAAAACUAGAAAUUUAAAUAGACAGGAACCAAUGAAUAAAAUAACGGAUUAUAAAAUAUUAGAACUAGAAGAAAGACAAAGAAGGUUGGAAAUAAGAAUAAAUAGACUCGAGAAAAAUAAAGAAGUAAUUAAGGAAGAAGAAGUAUUAGAAAUAAAAUUAUCGAGUACAUCCGUGAAGGAAAUAGUGGAUAAUCAAAAUAAACAGAAAAAAAUCAAUGAAUAUACCAUUCGAAGGAAUGAUAAGUAAUGGAGAUAAAAAGAUUAGUACAGUCAAAGUUUUAACAAGAAUAAGGAUUCAAAAUUAUGAGUUUGAAACAUUAGCCAUAGUAAAUUCAGGAUGUACAUGAAGUAUAUUAAAAGACUUAAUUUUGCCACCAUGACUAAUUAAAGAAUUACUAAAGCCACAAGACUCCAUGCCAAUGGAUGGAACUUAUAACACCUAUACAAAGUAUAUACCAAGAGCAAAAGUAAGUUUUAUUAACACUUGCAAAAAAUUCUAUCAGUCAUUAUUUAAACUUAAUGGAAUACUGGUUAGAGACUUAAACAUAAAGGCAGACUUUGUGUUAGGAUUAGAUUUUAUGGUACGAAAUAAUGGAGGAUGUUUUGAUACUAGAGAUUGGAUAAUUUUUGAGAGUAAUAUUACUCAUUCACUAGUAUAGACAUGACCUAUACUAACUAAUUAUAGUUUUCUUAAGGAUAAAUCAGAAGAAGAAAGCUCAAAUAGUCAAAUAAAACCCGACAAAUCACUAGAAUGUGAUAAGGGAGAAAAUUGUACAUGUAGUAACAAUAAAAAGAUAACAAUGUAUGAACAAUUAAAAGAUUUAUUAACAGUAGAAGAAUUAGAAAAAGACUACACUAUAAUAGAAAUGGAUAUAAAAUUAUACAAUUUUCAGAGAGAAAUACAACUGAUAGGUGUAAUGCCCCGUAAUUUGGGCUAUAAUAUAGACCAUGAUUUCGAUGUGUUGUUAAUCCCAAAGCUAUAAAAUCCUAUCCUGAUACGGCAUGUUAAUUAUUGUGUGGCAUGUGAAUCUACUCAAGCUUGAGUUUAGACCAUAGAGGUCCUUCAACUCAAGGGCGAGUUGAAACUAUUUCGAUCGACUAAGUUUUAGUGGAUGUUGUAAAGUGUGUCAGCUUCCAUCAAUCAUAAAUCUCUGUAUAUGUCGAAUUAGGAAGCCUACUAUGUGUCAAAUGAUAGGUAUUAGAGUUAGCUUUCCAACGAUACCAAUUUGGCUAUAAUCCGACACCCGAGUAAGAAGUUAUGGCCCUUCAAAGUGAUAAGCGUCGCCUAACCAUCGCCCAUGGCCACCAGAAGGCAUAGGAAAUAGCCUACGUGGCGCCUAUGUAAACAUAGGUGAUAGCCUAGGCGGCGCCUAUGUGAACAUAGGCAAUGGGAUGGGCGGUGCCUAUGUAAAGAAUUCUAGUGACUUAAACACUCCGUGUUGAGGACAAAGUGGUCCUUUUCCACCCUUACUUAGCCCUAAAACACGAAAUCUAAUUCUAAGGACCCCAAAAUACAUAUUAUUUCAUCAAAACUGCUUAAGGAUUCUCCUUAGGGUUUUAAAAUAAAAAUCCAAAUAGUUUAAGAUUUGACCGUAGGUUUUCAAAGGUAAUUACUGAUAACGCUCAAUCUACAGCUCUCGUGGGAGUGUAAAGCGGUCGUUAGCAAAUAUAGAACCCAACCUGGGUUGGGUAUCGAUCCCACAGAGAAUAGCUUGGCCAACAAGCAAGAGAAAUUACUAGACUUUUAGUGCAAGUCUCGUAGGAAAGGGGGGAUUGUAGUAUGUAACCAAAACAAGAAGGUAAGAACUGAAAAUAGCAAAAUAAAGAGAGAUUGUCACGUGUGUUGUAAACAAUGAGAAUUGAGGCGUUGGGGUUAUGUCCACCUUCUGAGGUAUACGUCUCUAUUGGCUAUGAGUGUGUAGAGUCUUGACAUGUAAUUGCUUAUAGAGAAUUGUAGUCGAUGGUAAAUCCAAGCGUCUCUCGACCUAAACAAGGACUAUUUCACUUUAACUCUCUCGAGCUUAAAGCGUGACUAACGGUACGAAUUCUCCAAGAAGUUAGUCCAGGUACGGCACUAGCUUUUUAAUAGGAAAGGGUGUCCUACUACCUUGACAUUAUCUCUUUUCCAGACAAAUAACUUUUCUCUCGAACAAGUCAGAUGUUAGACUGGCGUUGGUCUAUGCGUCUUCUUUUCUAGACAAAUAACCUUUCUCUCGAACAGGUUAGAUGUUAGAAUGGCGUGUUCUUGUGUUUGAACCGCAAAGAAUGUAGAUUUAAGAUGAAGAGAAUAAUGAUAUAAGCAAUAUACUUGUCUUGAACUCACAAACUCAUAGCUAUAGAUAGUAACUCAUUCGGCUUCCAUAACCCCAACUAAGAGAUUUAGUUACCCAUGAAUGCGAAGGAUAUCACGUUUUGCAUGGUGGAUGGCGUGAAUAGUAGGUGUUUGGCGUGUGGUUUUAGUGAUUCCGUAGCAAGUAACAAUUCUCUUGUUGUGGAAUUUAAGAGUAGAAGAAUGAAGAAUUGAGAAUGGGUUGUAGGAAGAUGUCUUAAUUGUAAGGAGAUGAAUGAAUUGUCAGAAUGUCUCCCUUCUUGAAAAUCUCUAACAUGAUAGGGUAUUUAUAAUACUCCUAUCCUACUCCUACUAAACUAAUAAAAUAAAUAACCAAAUCCUAAUAUACUAAUGAAAUCCUUGACCCAAUUGUACUAGGGUAAGGUUACAAAAUUAUAAUCCAAAUAGAAUGAUGAAACACAUAACCUAAUUGCACUAGGUUAAUGUAUUAUGGCAAAAAUCCAGCUUUGUGUCUGUAAGUCCCAAAGUCUUCAGAAAUGCUGUUUUAGCCCGGGACAGAUUUUCCAUGCAGCAGAUUUAGUCCUUUAUGCGUCCAGCUCCUUUCCAUCUCGUUUGUGAGCUUUCUUUUGCGUCAAGUAAGCCAUAAAUUGCUGUAUUUUGCAUCAUUUAUACCUGAAACUUUCCUAAUCACAUUUGUUAGCUCAUUUACAGGAAAAAGGACUAAAAGUGUACGAAAUAGAUAAUUAGUUCUCGAAACUAGGCUAAAAUAUGGGCAAAAUAUAUUGAUAUAGGCGCGUAAUUUCGCCUAUCAUCAACACCCCACACUUAGAGCUUUGUUCGUCCUCGAACAACAUAUCAUGUCCUUCUAAGCAUUGACUUAAGGUUUUUACAGAAACAACACAAAACAUUCUUCAAGACAAGCACAACAAUUAUCAACGAAGAGUAGCUUUCCGAUUAUAAGUAGAAACAAUUUAACCUCAAGCAUAGACUCGUGAUGGUGAUCAACUCGCAUGCAAACGUUUAAGGUACAUAGAAUCAUAUACAACUAUCCAAAACUCAUCAACCAUGUGUGUCUCACAAUAUAGUACCCAUAAUCACUCACAAGUAUAGCAUAUUUUUCAAACAUGGGCAGCAAAGUAUCCUUGCGCUCACUCUCACAAAGAAUUCAUAUGUAGCAGCUAAUGACCAUAGGCUUGCCCUUAAUGUAGUACUCCACUAAAUGUCGGAAUGUUAAGGUUAGGAUCAAGUAGGUCUUUUGAUGGUUGUAAUGUAGGCUAAGGGACGGGUAGGAUCAACUAUUUUGGCCAGAAAUAGUGACUAAGUUCCUAAGCACUUUAAUACAUCACAUUGUAUUAUUGACACUUUUUUGUAGCACCCUUGUUCUCCUCUUUUGUUUUUCAAUUUUAAAGCACAACUCACUUUUCAGCUUUCUUUUCCUUUUUCUUCUCACAACAUACCUCUUAUGAUAGCACUUUCUUUUUCAUAACAUAUUCAAGCACCAUUACAAUUUAAAGCAUCAUACUCAACCAAUUUCCUCUUAUGUUGUCACAUGACUUUUUCACUUUAAAGCACUUAGGAAUUUGGAUCAAAUUACGGUCUUGAAAAAAAAAUGAAUUAGGCUUACAUACAAGGUUGUCAAAGAAAUAGGCUAAAGGCUCAAAAGGGUUUAACUAGGAUGAUGUCCAUGGGUAGGUAAAACUGAAGGUAAACAAAUAUAGGUUGCCAAAGAAAUGCCUAAAUCAUAUCCUAAACUUACACUCCUUAUUUUCGCUUUGCAUACAUACCAGGCAAGUUCUAGCAUCAGCCACAUACAUAGAAUAUACUAUUAUCUCACACACACAAGGCACAUGGUCGACUUGAUUGGUAGCAAUAUAGACUCUCAACCCAACAAGUGAAGGAAUUGAAUCACACACUAUCACAUAAUGAGUCACAACUAGAGCCUAAAUGUCUCAAUAGUCACAAUUGUAAUACAUACUAUUGUUAUAAUCUCAUGCUGCCUAUUAAAAUAAUUUCAUGCGAGGCUAGAAAAAUUUUAACUACUAAAAACUAAAAAAAAAACGUCACACGAAAAAAAUCACAAAAAAAAAUCGGACUCAAAACAAAAUAAAUAAAACAAAAUAAACAAGCAAACAUACAAAUAUAGCAUGCAGAUUCUGCCGACACCCCACACUUAGACUAGACACUGCCCUCAGUGGAAAAUAAAGUCGAAGAACCUGAUUAGUCGGACUCUUCCUCAAUGUCAUACCCCCUUCGUUCGAGUCAUCGUAAGAGUCAUCGUCAGAGUUCUCCUCAGCAUCAGAAUCAGGCAAGCGUCUAUCAUCAUCAGUUGGCACGUCAUCAUCAAGAGGUUCCUCGAAAUAUACUCCCACUCCACACAUCUCCCGGGCAUGUCUGUUCAUUGGGUAGUCGUGGUCCAGCUGUUGGAGCUCUUCAGCAGUUGGAAUACGUCCACCACUCAUCAUAGUGAAUCUCGUCAUGCCAUAGAGAUGACGGAAGAAACUCUCGUCACGAGCAUGUCUCUCCGCAGUGGUAAGGUUGACUCCAUGCGUUGUUUCAGCAUCUUUGACCUUGGUGAGGUCAACCUUCUUUGGGGUAUGUGGGAGUUUGUGGUCAGCUGGUUCCUCCUCUAUAUCCUCCUUCCGCAACAUUGCUGUCAACAAAUUGCCGAAUGUGAAAUAGGACCAUUCACAUUCACAUCAGUCUGGCUUUCCUCAUGGUGGAUCGAAUGAUUGCCCCAAAGUUGAUAGGGACAUUCGUCAUUAAUGAAUAAACCAGGCACACUCUAUCUCUCGAUAUCUUUGUGUAUUGCGUCCCAGGAAUGAGGCAUGAGUUGACAAUGCGCAUCCAGAUUCUUGCUUCCCUAUUUAGUGGAGCAUAGGGGAAUGUGUUGUGACGGCCUGUUUCCUUAUGUCUGCCCCAUCUCGCCAUCGAUCUGCUUCCACAAAGCGUGUGUCUUAUAGCUCUGUAAGGAGGUCUGCUGUACAGCUCUUUGUAUGGUGCAGUGUCGACCGAAGGUAGGCCUAGAAACGAGUUGAUCCAAUCCGCUGUAAGCUGUAACACUUGGCCCCGAAUUUUGACUUCGUUGCCUGUUGUGUUUGGCGACCAGUUGGCAUAAAACUCUCUUGUCAAGUCAAGAUUGCACUCUCCCAUGUCACGGAAGAUGAAAUCCAGCUUCAAAGCCAUAAUCUUAGCCAACAUUUGCGGCUCCUUCUUUGCUAAGGUCUCCUUAUUGAUUAAGUCGACGUGCACAUAUUUCUUUUCUUUGUUGCUGCUGUACCAUGCCUUGGCUUCUUCCUCAAGAACCCAUUUGAUUCCGAACAUUCUGCGUGGUAGGUGUGCGGAAGAUGAUUCGCCUUGGUCUUUUCGGCUUCUCUUUUUGUCCUUGCGGGUUGUGGUAGCCUUCUCCUUGCCUUGCCUUGCUUUCGGUGCCAUUGUACCGCCUUUACCAUACAACGCGACCAAAUCGUCAAUUGAAAUCAAUCUCCUCGUUGCAUACUUCUUACACCUAUAUUUGCUCAAACAAAUGAAAACGAUUAGUACGAUGGGUUGCCUCCCACCAAGCGCCUUAGUUUUGGUCGUGGCACGACUCUUAUUUUUGGAUUUUCAUUUAUCAAAAAGAAAAAAUACUAAAACGACAAAACGAUAAAACAAUAAAACGAAGGGUUGCCUCCCAUCUAGCGCCUUAUUUAUUGUCGUGGCUCGACGUAGUAAUCUCGAGUACUUAGACUUCGUCGAGAUAAGUGAUGGCCAUGUCAUUUAUCGAGUCAAGAGGACCGAUAUAUGGCUUAACACGUUGGCCAUUCACCUUGAAGAUAACACCCUCAUUAUUUUCCAAUUCGACUACUCCAAACGAGUAGACGUGGGUGACUUUAAAUGGACCAGACCACUUUGAUUUUAACUUACCUGGGAAGAGCUUGAAUCUGGAGUUAAAGAGUAGCACCAUGUCACCUUUUUGGAAGUGUCGUCGAACAAUCCGCUGAUCGUGAUACUUCUUCAUCCGCUCCUUGUAUAAAUCUGAUCUUUCAUAAGCAUGGAGACGGAAUUCAUCUAGCUCGUUCAGCUGCUCCAACCUCAGGUUCUUCACAUCAUCCCAAUUCAGAUUCAAGUGCUUCAAUGCCCAUAAUGCCUUGUAUUCAAGCUCGAUGGGUAGAUGACAAGCCUUCCCAUAAACUAGCUGAUAAGGUGACAUGCCAAUGGGUGUCUUGAAUGCAGUCCUAUACGCCCAUAGUGCAUCAUCUAGCUUCCGAGACCAAUCCUUCCGAUUCGCAUUGACCGUCUUGGCAAGGAUUUGCUUGAUCUCCCGAUUGGAAACCUCUACUUGUCCACUAGUUUGGGGAUGAUAAGGCGUAGCUACCUUGUGUUGCUUGACUCCAUACUUGGCCAAUACAGAUUUGAAUAGCUUGUUGCAGAAGUGAGAUCCUCCAUCACUUAUGAUAGUACGAGGUACCCCAAAGCGAGAGAAGAUAUUCUUCUUUAAAAACGCUACAACACGCUUUCCUUCAUUAUCGGCCAAUGCUACAGCUUCAACCCAUUUCGACACAUAAUCCACAGCAACCAAGAUGUACUUCAUUCCAAACGAAUUUACGAAUGGUCCCAUGAAAUCAAUACCCCAUACAUCAAAGAGUUCUACCUCCAGGAUUGUGGACAUGGGCAUUUCAUGGUGUUUUGAAAUAACACCUUGACGUUGGCAUUGGUCACACCUUCUCACAUAGUCGUGUGCAUCUCUGAAUAUUGUAGGCCAAUAAUAACCACUUUGCAAGACUUUUCUUGCUGUUCGAUUACCCGCAUGAUGUCCUCCAACUUGCGAAGUGUGGCAUGCUUCUAAUAUAGUGGGCACUUCGUCAUGGGAUAUACAUCGUCGAAUGAUACCAUCCGCACAUCUUCGAAACAAAUAAGGCUCAUCCCAAUAAUAGUGCUGAACGUCAUGCAUAAACUUCCUCCUCUGGUGGUAAGAUAAAUUUGUAGGUAACACAUUACUCACCACGAAAUUCGCAAAGUCGGCAUACCAUGGUAAGUCUUCUAUUGUUGUCGCUAAUAUCUCCUCGUCAGGGAAUGCAUCGCCAAUCUGAUUUUCUGAUUGCGCCACAUACUCAUUCUCAAGUCUAGAUAGGUGAUCAGCCACUUGGUUCUCGCAACCUCUUCUAUCUUUGACUUCGAAAUCAAACUCUUGCAGCAGCAACACCCAUCGAAUCAGCCUUGGUUUUGCAUCCUUCUUUGUCAUUAGAUACCUAAGAGCUGCAUGGUCUGUAUGAACGAUCACUUUAGUACCUAAUAGGUAGGCGCGGAACUUCUCAAACGCAUACACAACCGCUAAUAGCUCUUGUUCAGUGACGGUGUAGUUCCUUUGGGCUUCAUUGAGGACCUUACUCGCAUAGUAGAUAGGAUGAAAUAAUUUCUCCUUUCUCUGUCCAAGAACAGCACCAACGGCUACACCACUAGCAUCACACAUGACUUCGAACGGGAGCGUCCAAUCUGGUGUUACCAUGAUAGGGGCUUCAACGAGUUUUUCUUUAAGGCAUUCAAAUGCCUUUAAGCAAUCAUCAUUAAAGUCAAACUUCGCAUCUUUCUCCAAUAGCUUGCAUAAUGGACUAGAAAUUUUGGAGAAGUCUUUGAUGAAUCUACGAUAAAACCCAGCAUGGCCAAGAAAACUACGAACUCCCUUCACCGAAAUUGGAGGUGGUAGCUUCUCAAUUACCUCUAUUUUGGCGCGAUCAACCUCUAUUCCUUUUUCGGAGAUCUUGUGCCCAAGAACAAUUCCUUCUUUUACCAUGAAGUGGCACUUCUCCCAAUUCAGCACAAGGUUGAACUCUACACAUCUUUGUAAUGCCAUGCUUAAAUUCACCAAACAUGCUUCGAAAGACUCCCCAACAACUGAAAAGUCGUCCAUAAAUACCUCCAAAGUGUCUUCUACCAUAUCAGAGAAAAUAGACAUCAUACAUCGCUGAAAGGUGGCUGGUGCAUUACAUAACCCGAAUGGCAUACGUUUGAAGGCAAACGUACCAUAUGGGCAUGUAAACGUUGUCUUCUCUUGGUCUUCUGGUGCAAUAAAAAUCUGAUUAUAACCUGAAUAACCAUCAAGAAAGCAAAACCAUCCUUUUCCCGCUAAUCGAUCUAGCAUUUGGUCCAUAAAUGGCAUGGGGAAGUGAUCCUUGAGAGUCCAAGAAUUCAGCUUGCGGUAGUCCAUGCAUACUCUCCAUCCAGUGACGGGCCUGAGUGGAAUAAGCUCAUUCUUUGCAUUCGCAACCACCGUCAUACCUCCUUUCUUGGGAACACAUUGUACUGGGCUUACCCAUGUACUAUCAGAAAUAGGAUACACAACUCCUGCGUCUAACCACUUGAUAAUCUCCUUCUUCACCACCUCUUGCAUUGGUGGGUUUAGACGUCUUUGGUGUUCGAUGGUGGGUGUGCACUUUUCUUGGAGCUGAAUUUUAUGAGUGCAAAUUCCAGGUGGAAUACCAAGGAUAUCCGCAAUGGUCCAUCCAAUAGCUCUAAUAUACUUGCGUAAAAUUGCAAUAAGAGCUGCAACUUGUUGCUCACCUAAAUCGGCUGCCACUAUGACUGGAAGAGUGUUUCCGCUUCCUAAGAAUGCAUACUUCAAAUGGCUUGGCAGCUCCUUUAAUUCUAAUGUGGGUGGUUCUUCAAUAGAUGGCUUAGCUGGUGGUGUGGGUCGAUUCUUGAGAUCAAGAUCCAGCUUCUUAGGAGGAUAGCGAUAUGCUCCUAAUCCCGAUAGAGCACAAAUAUCAUCUUCAGAAAUUUCAGCAUCAUCAUCAUCUUCUUCCAUGAGCAAAACCUCCAAAGGAUCAUCAAGAAUUUGUUCUUCAGCAAGUAACUCAUCCUCGUCAUCAACGACAACAUCAGUCACAGAAAAUACACUUAGAUCUUUGGGUUGCUUCAUUGAUUUGCAAACAUCAAAGCGCACCACUUCAUCAUUUAUUCGGAAUGAAAGUUCAUUAGCUCUCAAAUCUAUGAGCACACUUCCCGUAGCAAGGAAAGGGCGUCCCAAGAUUAUGGGAACCUCUGAAUCUGCUUCGCAAUCCAAGAUGACAAAGUCUGCUGGAAAUAUGAAUGAAGAUACCUUCACCAAGACAUCGCAUAGAAUACCAACCGGUCGUUUUACCGACCUAUCCGCCAUAACAAGCUUCAUAUUAGUUGGUGUAGGAUCUCCCAACCCCAACUUCUUGUAGAUUGAUAAUGGCAUCAAGUUGAUGCUGGCUCCUAAGUCACAUAAUGCUUUAGCAAAGUCCAAAGAUCCGACGGUGCAAGGAAUAGUGAAAGCUCCGGGGUCGGCCUUCUUCUGAACUAUGGAUCGGGUAGCUAUUGCACUACAAUGAUGCACAUCUUCUUUCAGCUCAUAGCUUGCUGCCCUCUUCUUAGUCAAAAGAUCUUUCAUAAACUUCGCAUACCCAGGCAUUUGUUCAAGUGCCUCUACCAAUGGGACAUUAAUAGUCAGCUGCUUCAAGAUGGUCAUGAACUUGCUGAACUUAGUGUCAUCGGCCGCCUUCUUCAGUCUUUGUGGAAAAGGUGGUGGUGGGUAUGGAAGUGUUCUUUCCAUGGCUUUCUUCUCCUCUUGCUUCCGUUUAUUACUUUUUUCAGGCUGCACGUCACUAGGCAACACGUCCUUGACGUUGGAAGUGGAUAUUGCGGCGUCUUCCCUAGUGGCGUCACUAGGUGUGGCGGUUGUGUCUGCUGUUCUGUCAACUAUUUGCUUGCCUUCUGCUGAAGUUUCCAGCACCUUACCACUCCUCGUAGUGAUGGCCAUGCAUGACCCAUCAGUCCUUGGAUUUUGCACCGUAUCGCUAGGCAAGGUGCCGGCUUUUCUUUGGUUGAGUGUUGCUGAAAGUUGACUGAAUUGCUGCUCUAGUUGCUUGAUAGAAGUGGAAUGAGAAUCAACUAAUUGCUUCAUGGAGGCCAAAUCGUCAAUCACCUCCUUAACUCCCGCAUUCGUCGCUUCCACUCCUUUCAAUAACUUAGCCAUCAUGUCUUCCAUAGAAUUAGAUGUGGUGGUAUCACGUCUACCAGGGGGAACGUACAAACCACUGUUUUCAUUAUUUUUCUUCCAACUACCUUGGUCUUUACCUCCAGAUUUGUCAUAAUAGUUCCGACCUUGGUUUCCUUGGGCAUUCCCACGGAAACCCCCCUGAUUGUUCAAGUAGUUGGCCUCCUCUUCUGAAUCAGAUUCGUCUCUUCCUUUUGACGCAAUAGAUUUCACUUUUUCAGUCUUCCCUAAUAGAUGCUUUGUAAGAAGAUCCAUUUGGGUUUUCAUGUGCGCCAUAUCUUGAUCACGUUCUUCUUCUCUCCUUCUUUGAUCUGCAGACAUGCCAAUAGAUAAAGUGGGGCUUGCUACCUCAGAAUCCCUGGUAUGCCAAGCUCUACUUUGUUUCGUCAUACGAUCUAGCAUGUUGCUUGCUUGACCAAAGGUGAGGUCCAUAAAAGAACCUCCAGCUGCGUUGUCCACCACUGGUUUAGUUACUGAAUUCAAGGCUCUAUAUAAGAUCUCCAUGAGGUGAACAUUAGUCAUGUGAUGGUUUGGGCAUCUCGCUAGCUUUGUCUUGAACCUCUCCCAUGUUUCGUGAAGAGCUUCAGAGGGAAGCUGACGAAAGUUGCUGAUUUCAUCUCUCAAUUGAGCCCUCUUGGAUGGCGGAAAGAAUCUUUCUAGGAAAGCGUCUCUCAAUUGCCUCCAAUUUGUAAUAGAAUCAGGAGUCAGCCCAUUCAACCAUAAUGUUGCCUCCCCAGACAGAGACAAUGGAAAUAGACGUAAUCGAAUAGCAUUCUGACCAACUCCAGGAUUGUCAAAAGACUUGCAUGUAGAAAUAAAGUUGAUGAGAUGCAUAUUCGGAUCAUCGCCUGCUAGUCCACCAAAUAAUCCCUUGAGUUGCAAUAACUGAAUCAUGGUGCUAGUGAUGUUGAACUUGGCUCCGGGCGCUAAUGGUGGUGGAAUUAUAGCUCCAGUGGCUCCGGCACCAUCAAGAUCAUCAUCAUCAUCGUCGAAAGCUGGUUGCAAAGGUUGGCGAUCAUAUCUGUACCGAGCUUGUCGACCUCGUCUGUUGGUAGGUGUUGCCAUUUCAGCGCCAUGCCUUGGGUUGAUCAACUCGUCAUCUCCUAAAUCUUCAUCGUCAGGAUUUGUUGCUCGUCCAGGAUUAUCAAUGUUUUGUUGUUGGACUUGAGCAGCGGCAAGAGCAGCUAAUCUUGCUUGCUCAUGUUGAGCAGCCAUCCUGUCGAUUUCCGCUUGUGCUUCCAUUCUUCUGAUUCGUUGUGGUUCCGGAUUGAUUGGUAAUAACGGUUGACCAGAACUUCUAGUAUGGGGCAUGCACUAAAAGAAAAACCUGCAAUAAACAAAAACAAAAACUAAACGUAAAAGUACGAGAAUCUUUGACCAAAGGGUCUAGUAAUUUUCACGAACUUGAUUGACACUCGUAUUCCCCGGCAACGGCGCCAAUUUUUGAUAACGCUCAAUCUACAGCUCUCGUGGGAGUGUAAAGCGGUCGUUAGCAAAUAUAGAACCCAACCUGGGUUGGGUAUCGAUCCCACAGAGAAUAGCUUGGCCAACAAGCAAGAAAAAUUACUAGACUUUUAGUGCAAGUCUCGUAGGAAAGGGGGGAUUGUAGUAUGUAACCAAAACAAGAAUGUAAGAACUGAAAAUAGCAAAAUAAAGAGAGAUUGUCACGUGUGUUGUAAACAAUGAGAAUUGAGGCGUUGGGGUUAUGUCCACCUUCUGAGGUAUACGUCUCUAUUGGCUAUGAGUGUGUAGAGUCUUGACAUGUAAUUGCUUAUAGAGAAUUGUAGUCGAUGGUAAAUCCAAGCGUCUCUCGACCUAAACAAGGACUAUUUCACUUUAACUCUCUCGAGCUUAAAGCGUGACUAACGGUACGAAUUCUCCAAGAAGUUAGUCCAGGUACGGCACUAGCUUUUUAAUAGGAAAGGGUGUCCUACUACCUUGACAUUAUCUCUUUUCCAGACAAAUAACUUUUCUCUCGAACAAGUCAGAUGUUAGACUGGCGUUGGUCUAUGCGUCUUCUUUUCUAGACAAAUAACCUUUCUCUCGAACAGGUUAGAUGUUAGAAUGGCGUGUUCUUGUGUUUGAACCGCAAAGAAUGUAGAUUUAAGAUGAAGAGAAUAAUGAUAUAAGCAAUAUACUUGUCUUGAACUCACAAACUCAUAGCUAUAGAUAGUAACUCAUUCGGCUUCCAUAACCCCAACUAAGAGAUUUAGUUACCCAUGAAUGCGAAGGAUAUCACGUUUUGCAUGGUGGAUGGCGUGAAUAGUAGGUGUUUGGCGUGUGGUUUUAGUGAUUCCGUAGCAAGUAACAAUUCUCUUGUUGUGGAAUUUAAGAGUAGAAGAAUGAAGAAUUGAGAAUGGGUUGUAGGAAGAUGUCUUAAUUGUAAGGAGAUGAAUGAAUUGUCAGAAUGUCUCCCUUCUUGAAAAUCUCUAACAUGAUAGGGUAUUUAUAAUACUCCUAUCCUACUCCUACUAAACUAAUAAAAUAAAUAACCAAAUCCUAAUAUACUAAUGAAAUCCUUGACCCAAUUGUACUAGGGUAAGGUUACAAAAUUAUAAUCCAAAUAGAAUGAUGAAACACAUAACCUAAUUGCACUAGGUUAAUGUAUUAUGGCAAAAAUCCAGCUUUGUGUCUGUAAGUCCCAAAGUCUUCAGAAAUGCUGUUUUAGCCCGGGACAGAUUUUCCAUGCAGCAGAUUUAGUCCUUUAUGCGUCCAGCUCCUUUCCAUCUCGUUUGUGAGCUUUCUUUUGCGUCAAGUAAGCCAUAAAUUGCUGUAUUUUGCAUCAUUUAUACCUGAAACUUUCCUAAUCACAUUUGUUAGCUCAUUUACAGGAAAAAGGACUAAAAGUGUACGAAAUAGAUAAUUAGUUCUCGAAACUAGGCUAAAAUAUGGGCAAAAUAUAUUGAUAUAGGCGCGUAAUUUCGCCUAUCAUCAACACCCCACACUUAGAGCUUUGUUCGUCCUCGAACAACAUAUCAUGUCCUUCUAAGCAUUGACUUAAGGUUUUUACAGAAACAACACAAAACAUUCUUCAAGGUAUUUUUUAUGAACAUGCAUGCUUUAAAAUGGGGGUUUUCAAUCAAAUGCUAAUAUCUUGCUUUCAAUAUAAUUUCUAAGUCAUUUUCUUUAUGUUGUGGGAAUUGUUUGCCUAUAUACUUAAAUUAUUGAAACCAUGCAUAUGUGAUUUGAGAUUUUCCAUGGAAGUUUGAUAAAUAUGAAUGAUAAAUUGUUUUCAAAUUCCCGUGAUAAUGUUUCUAUACUCUAUAUUGUAUUGUGAACAACAAAAGAGAGCAUGAAUUUGAAAUAAAUAUUGUUCACCACUUGUAAAUGAUGAAGCACCUUGGUUUUUACAUGAUUAUGCAUAUGUGGAUGUGAUAUUGAUGACUUGCAAGUCGGGUAUGAAGAUACCCUUCAGAAUACGAUAUCAGAUUGAAUAAGAUGAAAUUUAAAUACAUUGAUUUUACAUGAGAAAGGUGGAUGCCUAAAGAAGGCAUUUGAGACACAAGGGCUCAUCAUUGGAAAACGUGUUUACCGACAUGGAAUAUUGGUACCAGGUUAAGUGAUCUUGUGUACUUGACUUCAUGUCAUUCCCAAAUUGGGACUAUAGGUAGGAGCCCAGGCUAAGUGAUCUCGGGCACUACCAUUAGGUCGAUACACCAUGCUAUGUGAUCUUGUGUGUCUCUCCCUCACUUAUACUCUAAUCUCGGCGGCAACCGAGGUUUGACAGUUGGAGUAAAUCAUGUAGGGUGUUUCACCUAGCUCAGUUGCAUUUCAUUAUUGUUGAGAAAAACUAUUGUAUUACACCCAUGUGCUUUCAAAUGAUUUGAUACGAAAUUGCUUUAUAAUGGCUCUUAACUAUGUAUUGUAAAAAUAUUAUAUUUUAUUUUGAUAUAUCUGUGUGCCAGUACUUUUGUGUUGACCCCCUUCCCUCUCUAACCACUCAGGUUCAGAGGCCCAAUUCAGGGGUCAAGAGAAUCAGUAGAUCUUUCUGUCAGAGCUGUAGAGACAAGUGGUGAGACUUCUAUGUUUCGGAAGGUCUUAUGUCCUGCAGUCCUUUUAUCUUAUAUUCAGUUUUAGGGUUUACUGGGGGCCUUGUCCUAGUUUAUAUACGGUUACUUGACUCAGUCAUUUGUUGGAUAUUUUCACAGACAGUUGUUUAGAGGUUAAUUGAUGUUGAGGGAACCUUAUCUCCCUGUUAUUGUUUCUUUUCAUAUUUAUGACCAUGUUUUUGAAUUAUUGUGUUUUUCCGCAUUACUUUGAUCAUAUGAAUUAGGUGCAUGAUUACCAGACAGAUAGGGGUAUUUUGGGCCUCCAUAGUUUGAAAUGCUCGUCACGGCCAGGCUCGGUUCAGGUCGUGACAAGCUUGGUAUCAAAGCAUAGUUCAUGGUCCUAGGGUGUCUGCGAAAUCACGUUAGAUAUACUCUUAUUUAUGGGUGUGGAGCGUGUCACACUCAUAAGCAGGAGGCUGCUAGGCAUUUAGGAAAUGUUUCCCUUCUUUUUGAUUUAGUUCGUGCUUCAGAGUCUAAACUGUACCCUAAUCAAUGAUCACUUGUGUUUCAGAAAACACAGUUAUGCCUCUACGUCGUAUCAUCGAUCAGAAUGCUCAGGAAGAUGAGGUCCGUCCUACCCAUGGGAUGUGGAACCAUAACAGGGCUCACACUCCAAAAUUUGUCCCUACUCCGGGAGUCCCUCCAAUCCCGACCAGUCCACCUCGGGCUCCGCAGACUAAUGUUAAUCGUCCCCCAACUGCUCAAGGAGAUAUUUCAAAUGCAGAAUUCAGAUGGUCUAUUCAUAGGCUGACACAAUUGGUAGCUAACUAGGCUUAAAGAUCAGAAGAUGUUGGGUCUGCAUCUGUUACAUUUGAGGCUACUAGAGUCGGUCAUUUCAUAAAGAUAAACCCACCUAAGUUCACUGGCACUAAGGUAGAGAAAGAUCCACGGGAGUUCGUGGAUGAGAUGGAAAGGAUCUUUAAGGUGAUGUAUGUGGAUGAGGUUGAGGGGGUGGAGCUAGCAACCUAUCAGCUCAAGGAUGUUGCGAAUCAGUGGUAUGCCGACUGGGAAGAUGAAAAAAGGUGAAAGUGCUGAGCCCACAGUUUGGGUCAAAUUUGUGAAAGAUUUUCUUGAUCGAUUCUUUCCUCUGGAGUUGAGGGAGGCCAAAGUGGAAGAGUUUAUGAAUCUAAAGUAGGGCAGGAUGAGUGUCCAGGAGUGCACUUUGAAGUUUAAUAAACUAGCCCGCUAUGCACCAGAGUUGACUAGUAAUAUCAGAGCCUAGAUGAGGAAGUUUGUAUCUGGCCUUGCUGAUAACCUGGUACUUGAGUGCCAGGGUGCUAUGUUGAAUAAGGAGUUAGACUUUGCUCGGCUGACCGUUCAUAUACAGUAGGUGGAUGAGAAGAAGAAAACGAUUGCUGAAUCUAGAGAGAAAGACAGAUAGGCUAAGAGAGCUAGAUCUGCGGACCAGCACCAGAGUCAGCCGCAGAGUGGUAACUGGAGUAAUAAGUGGUCAAAGAAGAAAAAGUUUUGGAAUAAUACACAAUCAGCAGCCAGUGCCCUGACACCCAGACCACCGACAGAAAGACAAACUCAGAUUUUUCAGAUUCCUCAUGGGUCCAAAGCUCUAGGUACACAGUCUUAGGGCAGUGUGGCCCAGCAGCAUCAUACUUAUCCAUGGUGUGAGGUUUGCGAAAGGAAUUAUCGAGGGAAGUGUUGGUUUGAGGGGAGAAACUGCUAUACUUAUGGCAAAGUGGGUCACCUUUAGAGAGAUUGUCCUUCUAUUGGAGGAAGGGGGGGAGGGGGGGCUAAGUCCCAAGCCGCCUUCACAGCUCCUUUUUCUAAGGGUGCCCCUUCAGCUGCCGAAAGCGUUCGCAACUGGUUAUAUUCUUUGACUAACCGCCAGGAGGCGGAAGUUUCACCAGAUGUUGUCAUCGGUAUGUUACGAAUCUUUUCUUAUGAUGUUUAUGUAUUUCUCGAUCCAGGGUCUACUUUGUCUUAUGUGACCCCUUAUGUGGCUGUUGGUUUUGGGUUUGAGCCUGAAGUUAUUCUAGAACCCUUCUCUGUUUCUACUCUUGUACGUGAUUCUGUUGUUGCUAGAAGGGUGUAUAGAAAUUGUUUCGUGUCUAUUCAUAGUAGGGAAACUAUGACAGACCUUAUAGAACUGGAUAUGAUAGAUUUUGAUGCCAUCCUUGGGAUGGGCUGGCUCCAUUUGUGUUAUGCCACCCUUGAUUGCAGAACCCGAAAGGUUAUUUUUUCUUUCCUGAAUGAGACACCAAUUGUAUGGGCAGGGAGUUCGAUAGAACCUAGAGGUCACUUUAUCUCUUAUCUUAAAGCCCGGAAGCUUGUCUCUGAAGGUUGUAUGUAUCAUCUAAUCCGAGUAAAAGAUUCAAAAGUUGGAAACCUUCCUCUGUAGUCAGUCCCUAUAGUGAACGAAUUUCCAGAAGUCUUUUCCAAAGAUCUCCCAGGGAUACCCCUGAUAGGGAGAUAGAUUUUGGCAUUGAUGUAUUGCCAGACACUCGUCCUAUUUCUAUUCCGCCAUAUAGAAUGGCUCCCACGGAACUAAAAGAGUUAAAGGAACAACUUGUAGACCUCCUAGACAAAGGUUUUAUUCAUCCUAGUGUUUCCCUAUAUGGUGCACCCGUGCUCUUCGUGCGAAAGAAGGAUGAGUCCCUUCGGAUGUGCAUAGACUACCGUCAGUUAAAUAAGGUCAUGAUUAAAAAUAAAUAUCCUCUUCCUAGGAUUGAUGACCUUUUUUACCAGCUUCAGGGUACCAAGUGUUUUUCAAAAAUAGACCUUCGUUCGGGUUAUCAUCAGUUGAAAUUUAGGGAGUUAGACAUACCCAAGACAACCUUCCGAACCCGAUAUGGUCACUACGAAUUUCUAGUCAUGUCCUUCGGGUUGACUAACACCUCUGCAGCCUUCAUGGAUCUUAUGAAUAGAGUGUUCCGUCAGUUUCUUGACUUGUUCAUUGUAUUUAUUGAUGAUAUUCUAAUCUAUUCUAAGAGUAAAGAGGAUCACGCCAAUCACCUCUGAAUUAUUCUUCAGACCCUUAAGGAUCAUUAGCUGUAUGCCAAAUUUUCUAAGUAUGAAUUCUGGUUAGACGCUAUUUGCUUCCUGGGGCAUAUUAUGUCCAGUGACGGGAUAAGAGUGGAUCCCCAAAAAGUUGAAGCAGUGAGAAAAUGGCCCAGACCCAUGACUCCAAUCGAUAUUCGGAGCUUUUUGGGUUUGGUGGGGUAUUAUAGAAGUUUCGUAGAGAGUUUUGCUUCCAUAGCUGCUCCGCUUACUAAACUGACUCAGAAAAAGAUAAAGUUUGUGUGGUCUGACUUGUGUGAAAAUAGUUUUGAGAAAUUUAAGGACAAGCUGACUACUGCUCCUGUUUUGACCCUUCCCAAGGGUGUAGAUGAUUUUGUGGUUUAUUGUGAUGCGUUCUGUAUGGGACUUGGUUGUGUAUUGAUGCAGCGUGGUAAGGUGAUAGCUAAUGCAUCUAGGCAGUUAAAGGUGCAUGAGCGCAAUUACCCCAGUCAUGACUUGGAGUUAGUAGCCAUGGUGUUUGCACUUAGAAACUAGAGGCACUAUCUCUAUGGAGUACAUGUUGAUAUUUAUGCUGACCAUAAGAGUUUUCAGUAUAUUUUCUCACAGAAAGAAUUGAACCUCAGGUAGAGGCGUUGGAUGGAGCUUUUGAAAGACUAUGAUAUGAGUCUACAUUACUAUCCGGGCAAGGCAAAUAUUGUAGCCGACGCCCUUAGCAGGUUGUCUAUGGGCAACCUUUCUCAUGUAGAAGAAGGAAAGAAAGAAAUGGUGAAGGAUAUUCAUCGCCUUGCAAAUCUGGGAGUGCGACUCUUAGAUUCUGAAGAUGGAGGGGUGAUUGUUCAUGAGUUAGCUAAGUCAUCUCUUUAUGCUAAAGUUAUGAAAAAGCAGGUUGAAGAUCCCAUCUUGGUGCAAAUAAAGAAAGAUGUGGGUCAAUAGAAGGAAAGAAAGAAAUGGUGAAGGAUAUUCAUCGCCUUGCAAAUCUGGGAGUGCGACUCUUAGAUUCUGAAGAUGGAGGGGUGAUUGUUCAUGAGUUAGCUAAGUCAUCUCUUUAUGCUAAAGUUAUGAAAAAGCAGGUUGAAGAUCCCAUCUUGGUGCAAAUAAAGAAAGAUGUGGGUCAAUAAAAGGUUAUGUCGUUUGAAAUUGGUGGUGAUGGUAUUCUGAGAUUUUAGGGUAGGUUGUGCAUUCUGAAUGUCGAUGGGCUAUGGGAAAAAAUCCUUAAUGAGGCGCACACUUUGAGGUAUGUCAUUCACCCAGGCUCUACUAAGAUGUACCAGGAUCUAAAAACCUUAUAUUGGUGGAAUAACAUGGAACGUGAUGUAGCUGAUUUUGUGUCCAAGUGUUUGAACUAUUAACAAGUGAAGGUGGAACACAUGAGGCCAGGUGGUACUUCCCAAAAGAUAGCCCUACCUUUAUAGAAGUGGGAGAUGAUAAACAUGGACUUCAUUACAGGACUUCUGAGAUCCCGAAACCAGUAUGAUUCUAUAUGGGUGAUUGUAGAUCGAUUGACCAAGUCAUCCCACUUUUUGCUUGGGAGGACUAAUUAUUCGGGAGAGGUUUAUGCUAAGAUUUACCUUGAGGAGAUAGUUUGAUUGCAUGGGGCACCAGUUUCCACUAUAUCUGAUAGACGUACGCAGUUUUCAUCUCAGUUUUGGAGAACCUUUCAGAAGUGUUUAGGUACACAAGUGAAUUUGAGCAUAGCUUUCCACCCUCAGACGGAUGGGAAAGAUGAGCGUACCAUUCAGAACCUCGAAGAUAUGUUGAGGGCAUGCGUCAUUGAUUUCAAAGGUAGUUGGGUAGAUCAUCUUCCACUGGUUGAAUUCGCUUACAAUAAUAGCUACCAUGCCAGCAUCAAGAUAGCUUUUUUUGAGGCUUUGUAUGGAAGGAGAUGUAGGUCUCCGAUAGGAUGAUAUGAAGUGGGUGAGACUCAGUUGUAUGGGCCUGAUCUUGUUCAUCAGGCGAUGGAGAAAGUGAAGAUAAUUAGAGAACGACUAAAGACUUCUCAGAGUCGUCAGAAGUCCUAUGCCAAUGUUCGGAGAAGAGAACUAGAGUUUGAAAUUGGUGAUUGGGUGUUUCUCAAGGUUUCUCCUAUGAAAGGAGUUAUGCGGUUUGGAAAAAGGGGUAAAUUAAGCCCUCUUUAUGUAGCACCAUAUCAGAUUUUGAAAAAGAUUGGUAUAGUUGCAUAUGAGUUAGAAUUGCCUGCAAGUUUGGGUUCCGUUCAUCUGGUAUUCCAUGUAUCCAUAUUGAAUAAAUUCAUUGGAGAUCAUUCUAUGGUAUUGCCAGUAGAGGGUAUCAAAGUGACAGACUCCUUGUAUUACGAAGAAGAGCCCGUUGACAUUUUAGAUUGCCAAGUUCGAAAGCUGAGGAGCAAGGAAAUAUCCUCAGUAAAGGUACUGUGGAGGAAUCAGAAAGUCGAAGAAGCAACUUGGGAGUCAGAAAAUGACAUGAGAAUUAGAUAUCCUAAUUUGUUUGCUUCGAUGGAAGAGGAGACAGAAGGUACUAUUCCUAUCUUAUCUUUCCUAGUCCUUUAUUAUGCUUGAAAUCGUGUCUUUCUAUGUCCCGCAUCAUCAUUCGGGGAUGAAUAAUCCUAAGGGGAGAUAAUGUAAUGCCCCGUAAUUCGGGCUAUCAUAUAGACCAUAAUUUUGAUGCAUUGUUAAUCCCGAAGCCAUAAAAUCCUAUGCUGAUACGGCAUGUUAAUUAUUGUGUGGCAUGUGAAUCCACUCAAGCUUUAGUUUAGACCAUAGAGGUCCUUCAACUCAAGGACAAGUUGAAACUAUUACGAUCGACUAAGUUUUAGUGGAUGUUGUAAAGUGUGUCAGCUUCCAUCGACCAUAACUCUCUAUAUAUGUCGAAUUAGAGAGCCUACUAUGUUUCAAAUGAUAGGUAUUCAAGUUAGCUUUCCAACAAUACCAAUUUGGCUUAAAAGCCGACACCCGAGCAAGAAGUUAUGGCCCUUUAAAGUGAUAAGCGUCGCCUAACCAAUCGCCCAUGGCCACUGGAAAGCAUAGGCAAUAGCCUAUGCGGCGCCUAUGUAAACAUAGGCGAUAGCCUAGGCGGCACCUAUGUGAACAUAGGCAAUGGGAUGGGCUGCGCCUAUGUAAACAAUUCUAGUGACUUAAACACUCCGUGUUGAGGAAUAAGUGGUCCUUUUCCACCCUUACUUAGCCCUAAAAUACGAAAUCUAGUUCCAAGGACCCCAAAAUACAUAUUCUUUCAUCAAAAGUGCUUAAGGAUUCUCCUUAGGGUUUCAAAAUAAAAACCCAAAUAGUUCAAGAUUUGACCGUAGAUUUUCAAAGAUAAUUACAUAUUUGGAAUCACCAAUCUGCAAGCUUCAAGAAACAUCUAUUAUCCUGGGAAAUAGAGGUACGUGGGGUUAUCCAAAAAUCUCAUGGGUGUAGUUUUUAUGAACAUGCAUGCUUUAAAAUGGGGGUUUUCAAUCAAAUGCUAAUAUCUUGCUUUUAAUAUGUUUUCUAAGUCAUUUUCUUUAUUUUGUGGGAAUAGUUUACCUAUAUACUUCAAUGGUUGAAACCAUGCAUAUGUGAUUUGAGAUUUUCCAUGGAAGUUUGAUAAAUAUGAAUGAUAAAUUGUUUUCAAAUUCCCAUGAUAAUGUUUCGAUACUCCAUAUUGCAUUGUGAUCAACAAAAGAGAGCAUGAAUUUGAAAUAAAUAUUAUUCACCACUUGUAAAUGAUGAAGCACCUUGGUUUUUACAAGAUUAUGCAUAUGUGGAUGUGAUAUUGAUGACUUGCAAGUUGGGUUUGAAUAUACCCUUCAGAAUACGAUAUGUGAUUGAAUAAGAUGAAAUUUGAAUGCAUUGAUUUUACAUGAGAAAGGUGGAUGCCCGAAGAAGGCGCUUGAGACACAAGGGCUCAUCAUUGGAAAACGUGUUUACCGACAUGGAAUAUUGGUACCAGGCUAAGUGAUCUUGUGUACUUGACUUCAUGUCAUUCCCAAAUUGGGACUAUAGGUAGGAGCCCGGGCUAAGUGUUCUUGGGCACUACCAUUGGGUCGAGACACCAUGCUUUGUGAUCUUGUGUGUCUCUCCCUCACUUAUACUCCAAUCUCGGUGGCAAUCGAGGUUUGACAGUUAGUGUAAAUUAUGUAGGGUAUUCCACCUAUCUUAGCUGCAUUUCAUUAUUGUUGAGAAAAACUAUUGUAUUACACCCAUGUGCUUUCAAAUGAUUUGAUACGAAAUUGCUUUAUAAUGGCUCUUAACUAUGUAUUGUAAAAAUAUUAUGUUUUGUCUUGAUAUCUCUGCGUGCCAGUACUUUUGUGCUGACCCCCUCCCUUCUCCAACCUCUCAGGUUCAGAGGCCCAGUCUAGGGGUCAAGAGAAUCAGUAGAUCUUUCUGUCAGAGCUGUAGAGACAAGUGGUGAGCUUUCUAUGUUUCGGAAGGUCUUAUGUCCUGCUGUCCUUUUAUCUUAUAUUCAGUUUUAGGGUCUACUGGGGGCCUUGUCCUAGUUUAUAUACGGUUACUUGACUCAGUAAUUUGUUAGAGAUUUUCGCAGAUAUUUAUUUAGAGGUUAAUUGAUGUUGAGGGAACCUUUUCUCCCCGUAAUUGUUUCUUUUCAUAUUUAUGACCAUGUUUCCAAAUUAUAGUGUUUUUCCGCAUUACUUUGAUCAUAUGAAUUAGGUGCAUGAUUACCAGACAAAUAGGGGUGUUUCGGGCCUCCAUGGUUCGAAAUGUUCGUCACAGCCAGGCCCCGGUUUGGGUUGUGACAAUCGGAGUAAUAAAAGAUCAAAAAAACCUAUAUGAAAUAAUACAAAUCCUAGGAAAACUAGAAAUAAUUGGAAAGAAACUCUUGAAGCACUAGGACUCUAAUCAAAUUACCUAUAAAUUAGAAAUAAUCAAUCUAGAAUAUACUAUAAAGACAACAUCUAUAAAAGCUACAAAUGAAGAUCUUAAAGAUUUUAAAGUACAAAUAAAGGAACUGUUAGAAUUAGGGAUAAUUAGGAGAUCCAAGUCAAGACAUAGAUGAACAACUCUCAUAGUAAGAAACCAUAGUGAAAUGGUACGAGGGAAAGCUAGAAUGGUAAUAAAUUACAAAAGACUAAAUGAUAAUACUACUAUGGAUUGAUAUAAGUUACCAGACAAAACAGAAUUAAUAAAUAGAAUACAAGGAAGAAAAGUAUUUAGUAAGUUCAAUUAUAAAUCUGGAUAUUGGAAAAUUAAGAUGCACGAGGAUAGUAUAGAAUGGACAGCUUUCACAUGUCCAGAAGGGCAUUUUGAAUGGCUAGUUAUGUCGUUCGGACUAAAAACAGCUCCUCCAAUUAUCCAAAGAAAAAUAAAUUGUAUUUUUUUGUAAUUAUAAGAAUUUUGUAUUAGUAUAUGUAGAUGACAUUUUAGUUUUCAGUAAUAACAUGAGAGAACAUCUAGGACAUUUACAACAAGUCUUUAAAUUGUUUGUAGACAAUGGAAUAAUAAUAAGUAGAAAGAAAAUGGAACUAUACAAAAAUAAUAUUAAUUUUCUAGGAGUAGUCAUUGGGGAUGGUAGACUAAAACGACAACCACACAUAGCUAAGAAUGUCUUACAAAUGCUAGAUAGAUUAGAUAAGACCAAGGAUUUGCAAAAAAUUUUAGGACUACUAAAUUAUGCUGAAACUUUCAUUAACGAUUUAGGAAAGGUAGCAGAGAUGCUAUAUUCUAAAAUUGGAUCAACAUGCUAGAAGAUUUUAAUGCUGAAGAUAUAAAAUUAGUCCAACAGCUUAAACACGUGAUCCAAGAUAUCCCAGAAUUGACACUGCCAUUAAAAAUAGACUAUUUAACAGUCGAAACUGAUUGAAGUCUUCGAGGAUGGAGAGCAAUAUUAAAAGCAAAACCUAAUAAAUACAGUGAGAAGAAAGAUGAGAAAAUUUUUGCUUACUCAAGCAUAAAAUAUAAGAAAAAAGGAAAUCUGAGUAGGAUAGACAUGGAAACCCUAGCAGUAAUCUACAAUUUAAAUAGUUUUAAGCUUUAUAUACAAAAUAAACCUGAAAUAUUAGUUAGAACUGACUGCGAAACUAUAGUAAAAUUCUUUCAAAAAAUAAAAGAAAAGAAUAGUAGUAAAAUGAGGUGGAUAACAUUAUGCUGGAAAUUAUUAAAGGAAAAGGUAAUAACCUAGAAAAUCAAGUUAGUAGACUAAUAAAAUACAACUAAUGAGUUUUGUUUCAGUAUGUAUACAGGCUAGGGAAAAGGUAAGGCUGAGGCCUUGUCCUCCCAAGACUAUCUGAGGAAUUUAAUGAGCAAUACUUAUUAAAGACCACUUACAAUGUUGGAACAUCUGAAAUUAGAAAGGAUAAUUUUCGGGCCGCACAACUUGAUCAGUUAUGAGCGCUCCAACCUGACUUUCAAGAUUAGACCAGACGUGCGAGUGGACAAAAAACAAAUAUUACUGAUCAACAAUUUAUGGAUAUCUUACAAUAAGACACCCAAAACCAAUAGAUAUUUCAUUUCAGUCCUAAAUACUUUAAGUUAUUAUUUUACUGAGAAGAAUAACACUAAUAGAUUUUAAUUUUAUGUUGUUCUUAGGGGACAAACACAAGGAGUAUUUCAGACAUGGAUAGAGGUGAUCGACUCUAUAAAAUACUAUACAAUUCUUCUAUAUAAGAAUUUCAAUGACCUCACAGAGGCAUUAGACUAUGCUCGAGGAAAUCUAGGGCCAACUAUUAUAUUAAUCAGCUUUAAGACCAACUAUGAAAGAAGUUUCAGAAUAUAAUAUAAAAAAGAUACAAGAUAAAAUCAUAUUAUGUGAUCAUUGUUCUUCGAUGAACGAAACUUUUAGAAGACUAAAUCAUGCAAAUGAGGCUUUAAGACAAGACAAUGAGAACCUUAUAAAUGAAAAAGUACAAAUGAUAGAACAUAUAGGACUUUUACAAGAUCGUAUUAAAG
rnacentral:lncRNA from 1 species